GUGUCAGCAGCCGCGGUAAUACCAGCUCCGCGAGUGGUCGGGACGUUUAUUGGGUCUAAAGCGUCCGUAGCCGGCUUACUAAGUCUCCGGCUAAAGCCCACGGCUUAACCGUGGGAUUGCCGAAGAUACUGGUAGGCUUGGGGGCGGAAGAGGCCGAGGGUACUUCCGGGGUAGGGGCGAAAUCCUAUAAUCCCGGAAGGACCACCAGUGGCGAAGGCGCUCGGCUAGUACGCGCCCGACGGUGAGGGACGAAAGCUGGGGGAGCGAACCGGAUUAGAUACCCGGGUAGUCCCAGCUGUAAACGAUGCAGACUAGGUGUUGGAUAGGCUUCGGGCCUAUCCAGUGCCGCAGUGAAGACAAUAAGUCUGCCACCUGGGGAGUACGGCCGCAAGGCUGAA
rnacentral:rRNA from 1 species